rnacentral:misc_RNA from 1 species
AACGCACAUUGCGCCCGCCAGCAUUCUGGCGGGCAUGCCUGUCCGAGCGUCAUUUCCACCCUCACGCGCCUCUUUAGUGCGUGGUGUUGGGGCAUUCUGCGGCAGCCGCAAGGCUUCGCAGGCCCUGAAACCCAUAGGCGGGCCGGUAGAAGGCUCCGAGCGCAGUAAGCAUUAGCCCUCGCUUUGGAAGCCCCUGCUGGCAGCUCGCCCUGCGGCGGAAACGUUUGCGGCAACCAUUUCUAAGGUUGACCUCGGAUCAGGUAGGACUACCCGCUGAACUUAA